rnacentral:rRNA from 1 species
UACAGAGGGUGCAAGCGUUGUUCGGAAUCAUUGGGCGUAAAGGGCGCGUAGGCGGUCAGGUAAGUCGAAUGUGAAAGCCCAGGGCUUAACCCUGGAAUUGCCUUUAAGACUGCAUCGCUAGAAUCGUGGAGAGGUGAGUGGAAUUCCGAGUGUAGAGGUGAAAUUCGUAGAUAUUCGGAAGAACACCAGUGGCGAAGGCGACUCACUGGACACGUAUUGACGCUGAGGUGCGAAAGCGUGGGGAGCAAACAGG